rnacentral:rRNA from 1 species
CCCGGGCCUUGUACACACCGCCCGUCACAUCACGAAAGUCGGCAACACCCGAAGCCGGUGGCCCAACCCGCAAGGGAGGGAGCCGUCGAAGGUGGGGUCGGCGAUUGGGAUG